rnacentral:rRNA from 1 species
AGCAGCCGCGGUAAUUCCAGCUCCAAUAGCGUAUAUUAAAGUUGCUGCAGUUAAAAAGCUCGUAGUUGAAUUUCGGGAUCAAUAUGUUGGUCGUGCCUCGGUACGUACUAGCUUAUUGGUUUCUCCCUUCUGAUGAACCAUGAUGUCAUUUAUUUGGUGUUAUGAGGAAUCAGGACUGUUACUUUGAAAAAAUUAGAGUGUUUAAAGCAGGCUCACGCUUGAAUACAUUAGCAUGGAAUAAUGAAAUAGGACGUUUGAUUCUAUUUUGUUGGUUUCUAGGAUCGACGUAAUGAUUAAUAGGGAUAGUUGGGGGCAUUAGUAUUCAAUUGUCAGAGGUGAAAUUCUUGGAUUUAUUGAAGACUAACUACUGCGAAAGCAUUUGCCAAGGAUGUUUUCAUUAAUCAAGAACGAAAGUUAGGGGAUCGAAGACGAUCAGAUACCGUCGUAGUCUUAACCAUAAACUAUGCCGACUAGGGAUCGGAUGAUGUUGAUUUUUUAAUGACUCAUUCGGCGCCUUACG